rnacentral:sRNA from 1 species
GUCGACAAGUCUCCGUUGGUGAACCAGCGGAGGGAUCAUUACCGGACUCGCAAGACUCCUACCACCCUGUGAACCUUCUGAAAACACGUUGCCUCGGCGGCUUCCUCCUCCCCUUCCGGGGGACGGAGGGGCGCCGCCAGCGGCACAGCUACUCUGCAUCGCGCGUUGGCAUCUCGAGAACGACGAAGCAAUCAAAACUUUCAACAACGGAUCUCUUGGCUCUGGCAUCGAUGAAGAACGCAGCGAAAUGCGAUAAGUAAUGCGAAUUGCAGAAUUCCGUGAGUCAUCGAAUCUUUGAACGCACAUUGCGCCCGCCAGCAUUCUGGCGGGCAUGCCUAUUCGAGUGUCAUUCGCACCGCUCAGGCCCUGCCUGGCGUUGGAGGACUGCGCCCCGCGCAGCCUCCCAAAGCGAGCGGCGGUGGCCCCCUUGGAACCGAGCGCAGUCACAUCUUCGUCUCGGCCCCCGGGGGCUGUCCGGCCGGAAAGAACGACACCUGUCUCCUAUACGUUGACCUCGAAUUAGGUAGGAAUACCCGCUGAACUUAAGCAUAUCAAUAA